AGGGAGGUGAGUACAGUAUGUGAAAGGGAGAGAAGUGAGUACAGUAUGUGAGAGGGAGGGAGAGAGGUGAGUACAGUAUGUGAAAGGGAGAGAGGAGAGAGGUGAGUACAGUAUGUGAAAGGGAGAGAGGUGAGUACAGUAUGUGAGAGGGAGGGAGAGAGGUGAGUACAGUAUGUGAAAGGGAGAGAGAGAGGUGAGUACAGUGUGUGAAAGGGAGAGAGGUGAGUGCAGUAUGUGAAAGGGAGGGAGAGAGGUGAGUACAGUAUGUGAAAGGGAGAGAGAGAGGUGAGUACAGUGUGUGAAAGGGAGAGAGGUGAGUACAGUAUGUGAAAGGGAGGGAGGUGAGUACAGUAUGUGAAAGGGAGAGAAGUGAGUACAGUAUGUGAGAGGGAGGGAGGUGAGUACAGUAUGUGAAAGGGAGGGAGAGAGGUGAGUACAGUAUGUGAAAGGGAGGG
ensembl:lncRNA